rnacentral:rRNA from 1 species
GAUGAACGCUGGCGGCGUGCUUAACACAUGCAAGUCGAACGGAAAGGCCCUGCUUUUGUGGGGUGCUCGAGUGGCGAACGGGUGAGUAACACGUGAGUAACCUGCCCUUGACUUUGGGAUAACUUCAGGAAACUGGGGCUAAUACCGGAUAGGAGCUCCUGCUGCAUGGUGGGGGUUGGAAAGUUUCGGCGGUUGGGGAUGGACUCGCGGCUUAUCAGCUUGUUGGUGGGGUAGUGGCUUACCAAGGCUUUGACGGGUAGCCGGCCUGAGAGGGUGACCGGCCACAUUGGGACUACGAUACGGCCCAGACUCCUACGGGAGGCAGCAGUGGGGAAUAUUGCACAGUGGGCGGAAGCCUGAUGCAGCAACGCCGCGUGCGGGAUGACGGCCUUCGGGUUGUAAACCGCUUUCGCCUGUGACGAAGCGUGAGUGACGGUAAUGGGUAAAGAAGCACCGGCUAACUACGUG